AGGACGGCAAAUGUUUGUACUUUGAAAUUGAUGAUUGUAGACAAGAUGUUGGUACAAUAGCCCAAAGAGGGUCUUGCAUUCUCUGAAAAGAGCCUCUGCUAAGAAUCGCCCUUGUGCAUCCCAGUGUCUCCUUCAAAAUUGUUGGUAUUUAAAGUGAGGAUGACCUGCUUUGCACACGUGCUUCUCCUUCCCCAUUGCAGCUGUUGUCCAGUGGGUUUGGGAUUCAUCUGAGUUCCCUUAAUAAAUCGAAUGCAAGCGAUGGUUCAUUCAAGCUCCCAGGAUACAUCUCAGGUCCUGAUGUUUACACAGUGAAGAUCUUUCAAUAUUUUUGGAUAUUGUAAGUGUUUAAUCUUUAGAUCAAAUUUGCAAACCAGGAGAAGAAAGUACAACACCUUUGCUCAAGAGCUUUGAUUUUGUAAAGUCCGCAUUUGGUAUUAAUCAGAGGAAGUAGAACAACAUCAUACAUUGCAUCUCCUUGUGAAAGUAGCUGUGUACAUUGAGCUGUACUCUUCUCCAAAAAUGUUAAAAGUAAUAACUGCAAUACCUCAGUCUCAGUGGGAUUUCUUAUGGUGGUAGUGUUAUUGCUUACUAUUUCUGAAACCAGCUACUGAUUUCUUAUGCAACGAAUGCUACAUCUGGUCAAAUAGAAAACGUAUCUCCGGGCUUGUCCACUUUACCGGCAUUUGGAAGGAAAUAUGACGUUAAUAGUGUAGCCAAUGAACCUCUGUUGUUGUCCAAGGAUGUCAAUGUCUCAGACUCCUCCAUUCUUGGAUAUCCAAGAGCUCUUGCAUUUGGUGUUCCAAGCAACUCACACUUUGACACCCCAAGAUUUGAUUCCUAUUCCUUUGGCCAACCAGCAGUAUACAUGUCAGGGAGCAAAGGAAACGAAAGUACAACACCUUUGCUCAAGAGCUCUGGUUUUUGAAAGUCUGCAUUUGGUAUUAAUCAGAAAGGAAGUAGAACAACAUCAUACAUUGCAUCUCCAGAGAUAGAUAAUAUAAGACCCGGUGGUGCAAACAUUCAAUCCAUUUGUGGAAUGCAGACUUAUCAAGAUAAAAGCCAUGACGUGUUGAGGUUUGAGGACUACCAGUUAGGUGAUAAAGGUGAGGAUUGAGAUAUGUAGAUGUUACACUCAAUACUGCUAAUUUCAUGAAAGGGGAGAUCAUAUUUACUUUUCUAGAGCAGGAGGCGGCUUUGGAAUUGGCUGAAAAGCUAAAUCUGCUCCUUGUGAAAGUAGCUAUGCAUAUUGAGCUGUAAUCUUCUCCAUAAAUGAACAUUAGCCUCUAAUGCAGCAACGAAUGCUACAUCUGGUCAAACACAAAACAUAUCUCCGGGCUCAUCCACUUUACAAACAUUUGGAAAGAAAUAUGACGUUAACAGCGUGGCCGAUGAACCUCUGAUGUGGUCCAGGGAUGCCAAUGUCUCAGGCUCCUCCAUAUUUGGAUCUCUAAAACCUACUUCAUCUGGUGUUUCAAGCAACUCACACUUUGGCACCCCAAGAUUUGAUUCCUAUUCCUUCGGCCAAGCAGCAGUAUCCAUGUCAGGGAGCAAAGGUACCCUUUUUCAUGGAUAAAGAAAACACUUCUGGUGUACUAAGGACAGAAUUUCCACUGGGGGCUGAUUCAUAUGUGGACAAAUAUAGGGAUCCAUGACA